rnacentral:lncRNA from 1 species
CCAGCAUGAGGGCAGCCACAGGGGUAUUUUGGGUCCCUGACGCUCCUCUGUUCUUCUGAGGCAGGAGGCAGAGAACCUAAGGCCGAUCCACGCUGGACUUCCUAGAACUAAAUCAAAUGGAAACACUUCAGCUACGACAGGAAAUAUCCUCUUCAUUUACAUAGGGCAUACACCAAGUAACCAAUGGAAACCUCUAGAGUAUAUUUCAACCCAGAAUACUCUGUAAUGGGGCUCUUGAGCCCCUAUGCUCGACGCCCCUAUGGGGUAUACUUUCAUUUUCAAUAAAUCUCUGUGUUUGUUGCUUCAUUCUUUCCUUGCUUUGUUUGUGUGUUUUGUCCAAUUCUUUGUUCAAGACGCCAAGAACCUGGACACCUUUAACUGGUAACAUAUCUUAGUGAACCAGCCAGGAGUUGUGGUCCCUGAUCCCUACAUUU